UACGUAGGGUCCGAGCGUUGUCCGGAAUCAUUGGGCGUAAAGCGCACGUAGGCGGUCCGGUAAGUCGGAUGUGAAAUCCCUCGGCUCAACCGAGGAAGGGCAUCCGAAACUGCCGGGCUUGAGUACGGAAGAGGGUCUCGGAAUUCCCGGUGUAGAGGUGAAAUUCGUAGAUAUCGGGAGGAACACCAGUGGCGAAGGCGGAGACCUGGGCCGAUACUGACGCUGAGGUGCGAAAGCGUGGGGAGCAAACAGG
rnacentral:rRNA from 1 species